GACGAACGCUGGCGGCGUGCUUAACACAUGCAAGUCGAACGGAAAGGCCCUGCUUUUGUGGGGUGCUCGAGUGGCGAACGGGUGAGUAACACGUGAGUAACCUGCCCUUGACUUUGGGAUAACUUCAGGAAACUGGGGCUAAUACCGGAUAGGAGCUCCUGCUGCAUGGUGGGGGUUGGAAAGUUUCGGCGGUUGGGGAUGGACUCGCGGCUUAUCAGCUUGUUGGUGGGGUAGUGGCUUACCAAGGCUUUGACGGGUAGCCGGCCUGAGAGGGUGACCGGCCACAUUGUGACUGAGAUACGGUCCAGACUCCUACGGGAGGCAGCAGUGGGGAAUAUUGCACAAUGGGCGGAAGCCUGAUGCAGCAACGCCGCGUGCGGGAUGACGGCCUUCGGGUUGUAAACCGCUUUCGCCUGUGACGAAGCGUGAGUGACGGUAAUGGGUAAAGAAGCACCGGCUAACUACGUG
rnacentral:rRNA from 1 species